rnacentral:sRNA from 1 species
AUUUCCCUCCUUCGUCGCUGUUGCUGCCGCCAUACGCGCUCUCCCUGUUUAGGUAAGCUUUGGCCUUCGCUACAAUCCGUUUCCAUCUGCGCUUCUCCGCACCCAUCCCGUCACAUGGGUUCCUGAUACCCUUUUCACAGGCGAUGGUCUGGUCGCUGGGGCCUAGUUAGUCGCUAUUUCCGUAGCUUGCAUCCCUUUCGAGAGCAAAGAGCUCCUGGGGGAAGGAAGGGAAGCUAAGGGGGGACCCAAUCCAAGAUGGUGUCCUCGGCGCCAUUGUGUUCGUUUUGCUCUCUUCUUCCAAUGGGUUCUUCUCAUAUUGGAGGCCUCAGCAUCAAUGAGAGGCGGCGCUCGGCGUCCCUUGGUCUUGGUAUUUGCGGAGGGCGGGGCUCUUCUCACCUUCCUUGUCCUUUCUUGAGCUCUUUCUCGGCCCUCGGUGGGACUGGGAGGAGGAGCUGGUUUCUGGGCCCAGUUGGAUUUUUCUCACCUUGACUUGCCCAACUUAAUUUGGAGUGCCUUCCAAGUGUUUACGAUACGAUUGGUGUCAUUGUAUGUUUCUCCGAAAGGAGUCUCACCUUCGUAGCGUAACAGUGAUGUGAGACCACUUGGUAAAGAUCCUGUUAAAGCCUGGGCGGGGAUUGCCUUUCUCUGUCAACUAUUAGCUUUCUUAUUGUAGGGUGGAGACAUGAAUUUUGUUUUUUUGUGGCCGAGCCAUUUGUCUUGCACCGCCCCUCCCCCCCAUGCUAAUUACACAAGGCUUUCUUAAACAGCGGAAGGGAGGAUACUGAGAAGUGGGAGGCUGAGAGCUAUGGGAGGUGGACGGCGGCCAUAUGAUGUUUUCUUUUCGAAAGGUGAGCGCUUUGCGCAGUGAUGACCCUCAUCUAUCACCCUUGACUGAUGGCUGCUGAGUUAGGCAUCCAUAACGGUGGGAUUAUAAUAGGGAAAGCGGAGUCUUCCUUUGAGGACUUUUCAGGACUCUACUUGUCAUCUCCAUUUUCCACUUUACUAAGUUAUUAGUCAUAUUUUACCUUUUAUUAUCUAUUCUAUUUCCUCACUGUUACUUUCAGAUCAAGAAUUUAUAAGUUGGUCUUCCCCUUCCAACUUUUCUGGUUUCCGCUACUGUGAUUGCUAAUCUUGUUGGGAACCUCUGUCCUAACCACUUUCCCUGGUACUGCUUUUUCUGUUCUGUUAUAUUUGCUUUUCGUUUUUAUGUUUUGUAUCUGUUUUUCUUUCCAGGUAAAAGUUUCCUGGUUUAGGGAAAGUGGGAACUGGGGAUGGAAAAGAGGUGGUGAAGGCUGUGCUCGUGAUUAAGUCUUGCUUUUUUUUUUUUCCCCCCUCCAGCUCUUCUGUUAGAAAUAGUAUCUUUGUUUUCCUUUGCUGUUCCUCAAUCCCCUACUCUUCACCCCUUGUUUUCACCUAUUUUGCGAGAACCCAUCCAGAUCCCCCUUCCCUUCUUCCCCUGCCGGCCCAGUUAUGGCAGAGAACGAUGUGGACAAUGAGCUCUUGGACUAUGAAGAUGAUGAGGUGGAGACAGCAGCUGGGGGAGAUGGGGCUGAGGCCCCUGCCAAGAAGGAUGUCAAGGGCUCCUAUGUCUCCAUCCACAGCUCUGGCUUUCGUGACUUCCUGCUCAAGCCAGAGUUGCUCCGGGCCAUUGUCGACUGUGGCUUUGAGCAUCCGUCAGAAGUCCAGCAUGAGUGCAUCCCUCAGGCCAUUCUGGGAAUGGAUGUCCUGUGCCAGGCCAAGUCGGGCAUGGGAAAGACAGCAGUGUUUGUCUUGGCCACACUGCAACAGCUGGAGCCAGUUACUGGGCAGGUGUCUGUGCUGGUGAUGUGUCACACUCGGGAGUUGGCUUUUCAGAUCAGCAAGGAAUAUGAGCGCUUCUCUAAAUACAUGCCCAAUGUCAAGGUUGCUGUUUUUUUUGGUGGUCUGUCUAUCAAGAAGGAUGAAGAGGUGCUGAAGAAGAACUGCCCGCAUAUCGUCGUGGGGACUCCAGGCCGUAUCCUAGCCCUGGCUCGAAAUAAGAGCCUCAACCUCAAACACAUUAAACACUUUAUUUUGGAUGAAUGUGAUAAGAUGCUUGAACAGCUCGACAUGCGUCGGGAUGUCCAGGAAAUUUUUCGCAUGACCCCCCACGAGAAGCAGGUCAUGAUGUUCAGUGCUACCUUGAGCAAAGAGAUCCGUCCAGUCUGCCGCAAGUUCAUGCAAGAUGUAAAUACCCUUCUACCUUCUCUCCCUCCACUCCCCGCCCGCUGCCUCCUCCCCUUCCUCGCCCUCUUCCUCAGACUCCCUUGUCAUUCAAGUGCCAAGAAGGCGGCUUGUGCCCAACUGGGAGUAAUGACUCCUUGAAGAGACAUACAGAAGCAGAGACAGCUAGUGUUAGGGCCUGCGCGGGUGCCAGGGAAACUCCGGAAGACUUGGUCGGGUUAAUGUGAGAGCGGGUAGUGUUCGACUUUUUCAUAAAUCACAACAUUUUUGAACCUCUUCUCCCUUCGGGGGAGGGCAGGAUUUUUCUGCCCUACCACCCACCCAUCCAUCGUCUCUUACAUGCCCCCUACAGCCACGCACCCUCAAGGUGGCAUCGAGCAUACAGCUGGAGCCUUCUGCUCACCAAAACUCCUACUUCCCGGUGGCAGGAGAGCAAGAGAGGGACAGACAGAUGGCAGGGCAUGUCCAAAAGAAGAGCAUCAGCACAAAUGAAUCCUCCCCUUCCCCACCUCCAGGGGUGGGGGCCUUUGGCACCUCAAUCCCCGAUACCCUACUCCUUCCCACCCACAUCUCCUUGCACCCAUCUGGAACCUCGGUUGAUGUGAGCCGGCAACAGAGAAGCACCGUGGCGCGGCGAGGGAAUGCAGACGGCACCCAGCGGUGGAUGGCGGCAGCGGAGGCCGCGGGGAAACCUGACCAGGAAGCUGAGGACCAAACCAGCCUCUUUUUCCGUUCCCGGUUUUUUUCCUGAACCCAACGCGUGCCGUGCCCCGUUUCCCCCAAUAUGUGUUGGGGAGGGGUGUCCUGAAUGGGGUGGUAGAUUUUUUUUCUUAAAAAAAUUUUUUUGUUUUUUUUAAUACUCAGAGGAGAGGGACAUAGGAAAGGUAAAGUGGAUGUAAUCGGGUGGUUGUUAGGGUUUGGGGCUAGGUGGGGCCAAUUGCAUAAGCAGUGGAGUGUGUUCUUCCCCUCCCUGCAGUGUUCCUUCCCGUGGGAUGAUCACUCUUUAGCUGUAUUUGGGGCUAGAAUGAGAUUUGAAGGAGGCCAUGGAACUUCUCUUUAGAAAGCCUGCCUUGGCUGGGCCUGGUGGCUCACCUCUAAUCCCAGCACUUUGGGAGGCCAAGGUGGGAGGAUUGCUUGAGCCCAGGAAUUUGAGACUAGCUGGGGCAGUGUAGUGAGACUUUGUCUCUACCAGAAAAACCGGGCGUGGUGGCGCAUGCCUGUAGUCCCAGCUACUUGGGAGGCUGAGGCAGGAGGGUUUGCUUGAGCCCGGGACGUGGAGGCGGCAGUAAGCUGUAAUUGUGCCACUGUACUCCAGCCUGGGUGAUAGAGUGAGACCCUGUAUCAAAACAAAAAAAACAAAACCUGCCUUCUGGGAUUGGGCUUCUGGUUUUUUUCCCAUGACACACGCAUCCUUUCCUAUUUUGUCCUCUGGGUCUUCAUAUUAACUAUCUUCCCCCAGGAUAGUAUAAAAAGUGUUAGGAAAGUUGGGCUUUGGAGUUGUGGUAAUUUCUGUCUUUGUUACUUUCCUCCCCUUCAGGGGGUUUUUUAAUUUUAAAGAUGAAUGCAGUGAGGUAUAAUGGUGUGUGCCUGUAGUCCCAGCUAUUCAGGAGACUGAAGCAGGAGGAUCACUUGAGCCCAGGAAUUUGAGGCUAUAGUGUGCUAUGAUUGUGCCAGUGAAUAGCCACUGCACUCCAGCCUGGGCAACAUGGUGAGAUCCUGUCCCUUAAAAGCGUAUCUGCUGCUCUGAAUUUGGUAUUUUAACACCACUUACUGAUACCUUCCCUGUAAACCUGUAGAUGGUUUAAUUCUUAGUCAAGAGACCAGUCUCAUCUAAAACUAUCCUGUUGUGGUCUGACGGCAAGUAACUCAUCUUGAGUAAUUUUUGUUUCUCCUUAAGUGGCAUUUUGACUGUCCAUUGCAGCAUUCUGAUCUUAAAAGACAUCCACUUUGCUAAUGCACUCGAGAUUCUCUUAGUUGAAGUAGGAGAAUCAAAUGGAGCAGUUGUCCUCCCCCCACCCCAUGUUCUUAGAAGCAACUCUGAUGGAGUUAUUCUGACCUUGAGUCACUGCCUCCCAUCAUUUCCCAGAUGUUUGGUCCUUGCUCUCCCUUUGAGAAUCAUCUCCCAUUUUCUUUCCUCUCCCACCUCUAUUUGAGGUAAUGGCAUCUGUGCCAUUGGGUGGUUUCACUGCUCCUUGACUUCAUUUGCAGUUUCUUUCCCAUGAUAGUUUUUAGUUGGGCAGUCUUAAAACUCAUCUGAUAGGAAGGAAAUUAGAUGUAAUGUGAGAGAGACCACAGUAAAAUGUGGGUAUUUUUGGGAGUGGGGUGGGGUUUUCAAUCUUCUCUUUCCUCCCCAUCCCCCCAUGGGGUGUAUUGGAGAUCAACUUCCUCCACCCCCCCAGGUUUAACCCCCCCACUCUGCCCUCCUCCCGUUCCCCACCCCCUUCCUCCCCCCCAGCCAAUGGAGAUCUUCGUGGAUGAUGAGACGAAGUUGACGCUGCAUGGGUUGCAGCAGUACUACGUGAAACUGAAGGACAACGAGAAGAACCGGAAGCUCUUUGACCUUCUGGAUGUCCUUGAGUUCAACCAGGUCAGUUAGACGUCCAGUAGGGGGAUGAGCAUUGGAGCACUCCAGCUGUAGCAGAAACCUGGAUAUUAAGUACACUUUUAUUGAGGAAAUCACAUGGGUGAUGUGGGAGAGAAUAAUGAGGGUAUAAAUAUCUUAGGGGCUGAGCAUGAGUAAGGUGGGAGCUGCUUUUCUAUUCUAUGGCUGGCACGGGUAUGUCCUCAAUAACCUCAAGGAAAAUAAACUUCAAAAAUUAAGAUCCUUGGCCAGGCACAGUGGCUUAUGUGUGUAAUCCCAGCACUUGGGGAGGCUGAGGGAGGUGGAUCACUUGAGUCCAGGAGUUUGAGACCAGUCUGGGCAACAUGGCGAAACUUCAUCACUACCAAAGAAG